UAGGUAGUUUAACCUUCGGGAGGACGCUUACCACUUUGUGGUUCAUGACUGGGGUGAAGUCGUAACAAGGUAGCGCUAGGGGAACCUGGCGCUGGAUCACCUCCUUA
rnacentral:rRNA from 1 species